CUCAAGCUUGCUUGGGGUACUCGAGUGGCGAACGGGUGAGUAAUACGUGAGUAACCUGCCUUCUUCUUUGGGAUAAGCCUGGGAAACUGGGUCUAAUACUGGAUAUUCUGCUUCUGCCGCAUGGUGGGGGUUGGAAAGGUUUUUCUGGUGGGGGAUGGGCUCACGGCCUAUCAGCUUGUUGGUGGGGUGAUGGCCUACCAAGGCGGUGACGGGUAGCCGGCCUGAGAGGGUGACCGGCCACAUUGGGACUGAGAUACGGCCCAGACUCCUACGGGAGGCAGCAGUGGGGAAUAUUGCACAAUGGACGGAAGUCUGAUGCAGCGACGCCGCGUGGGGGAUGAAGGCUUUCGGGUUGUAAACUCCUUUUGAUGCUGAACAAGGCUCUUUUUAGGGUUGAGGGUAGGUGUUGAAUAAGCGCCGGCUAACUACGUGCCAGCAGCCGCGGUAAUACGUAGGGCGCGAGCGUUGUCCGGAAUUAUUGGGCGUAAAGGGCUCGUAGGCGGUUUGUCGCGUCUGCUGUGAAAGACCGGGGCUUAACUCCGGGGUUGCAGUGGGUACGGGCAGACUAGAGUGCGGUAGGGGUAGCUGGAAUUCCUGGUGUAGCGGUGGAAUGCGCAGAUAUCAGGAGGAACACCGAUGGCGAAGGCAGGUUACUGGGCCGUUACUGACGCUGAGGAGCGAAAGCAUGGGGAGCGAACAGGAUUAGAUACCCUGGUAGUCCAUGCUGUAAACGUUGGACACUAGGUGUGGGGCCUUUUCCAUGGGUUCUGCGCCGUAGCUAACGCAUUAAGUGUCCCGCCUGGGGAGUACGGUCGCAAGGCUAAAACUCAAAGGAAUUGACGGGGACCCGCACAAGCGGCGGAGCAUGCGGAUUAAUUCGACGCAACGCGAAGAACCUUACCAAGGCUUGACAUACACUGGAAGACUGCAGAGAUGUGGUUGCCUUCGGGCUGGUGUACAGGUGGUGCAUGGUUGUCGUCAGCUCGUGUCGUGAGAUGUUGGGUUAAGUCCCGCAACGAGCGCAACCCUUGUCUUGUGUUGCCAUCACUUCGGGUGGGGACUCANCACUGGUCUAGUGAUUCUGCGCCGACAAUGUAGCGGGGCUAAGUACACCGCCGAAACCGUGGCAAUAUUUUGUAUUGGGUAGGGGAGCGUCGUGCGUGAGGUGAAGCGAUGGUGUGAACUUGUUGUGGAUUGCGUGCGAGUGAGAAUUCAGGCAUGAGUAGCGAUUUGAUAGGUGAGAAUCCUAUCCGCCGUAUGACUAAGGGUUCCAGGGCCAGGUUGUUCCGCCCUGGGUUAGUCGGGUCCUAAGGCGAGGCCGUCAGGCGUAGUCGAUGGGUGACCAGUUGUUAUUCUGGUACCGGUGUAGAACCGUCCGUGCUGAAGCGAGGGAUACUAACCAUCCCGGAUAUUGCUUGACACUUUCGGGUGUUGGGUGGUUGAUGGCGUGGGAACUGAUCUUGUGGUAGGCAAGCGUGUUAACAGGGGUGACGCAGUGAGGUAGCUUCCGCGUGGCUUAUGGCUUGCCGCGUUUAACAGUGUGGCCUGUUUCCUAGGUAAAUCCGGGAAAUGUUUAAGGUGAGGCUGGAUGAUGACCUUUUUUUAAGGGAAGUAGGGUGAUCCUGUACUGUCUAGAAAAGCCUCGACGUGAGGUUCGAGCCGCCCGUACCCGAAACCGACACAGGUAGUUGGGUAGAGUAUAUUAAGGCGUUCGAGUGAAUCGUGGUUAAGGAACUCGGCAAAAUGCCCCCGUAACUUUGGGAGAAGGGGGACCGGAACCUUGAGGCCUUUUUGCAGGCUAGGGGUGAUGGUGGCAGAAACCAGGGAGAAGCGACUGUUUAUCAAAAACAUAGGUCUGUGCGAACACGUAAGUGGAUGUAUACGGACUGACGCCUGCCCGGUGCUGGAAGGUUAAGAGGACUGGUUAGUCAUCCUUGUGGUGGCGAAGCUGAGAAUUUAAGCCCCAGUAAACGGCGGUGGUAACUAUAACCAUCCUAAGGUAGCGAAAUUCCUUGUCGGGUAAGUUCCGACCUGCACGAAUGGCGUAACGACUUCUCCACUGUCUCAACCGCGAACUCGGUGAAAUUGCAUUACGAGUAAAGAUGCUCGUUACGCGCAGAAGGACGGAAAGACCCCGGGACCUUUACUAUAGCUUGGUAUUGGUGUUUGGUACGUUUUGUGUAGGAUAGGUGGGAGACUGUGAAGCUCAGACGCUAGUUUGGGUGGAGUCAUUGUUGAAAUACCACUCUGAUCGUGCUGGAUGUCUAACCUUGGACCAUGAUCUGGUUUAGGGACAGUGCCUGGUGGGUAGUUUAACUGGGGCGGUUGCCUCCUAAAUUGUAACGGAGGCGCUCAAUGGUUCCCUCAGCCUGGUUGGUAAUCAGGUGGCGAGUGUAAGUGUAGAAGGGAGCUUGACUGUGAGACUGACGGGUCGAGCAGGUACGAAAGUAGGAACUAGUGAUCCGGCCAUGGCUUAUGGUAGCGUGGUCGCUCAACGGAUAAAAGGUACCCCGGGGAUAACAGGCUGAUCCUGCCCAAGAGUUCAUAUCGACGGCAUGGUUUGGCACCUCGAUGUCGGCUCGUCGCAUCCUGGGGCUGGAGUAGGUCCCAAGGGUUGGGCUGUUCGCCCAUUAAAGCGGCACGCGAGCUGGGUUCAGAACGUCGUGAGACAGUUCGGUCCCUAUCCUCUGCGCGCGUUAGAAACUUGUGGAGGGCUGUCCCUAGUACGAGAGGACCGGGACGGACGAACCUCUGGUGUGCCAGUUGUACCGCCAGGUGCAUGGCUGGUUUGCUACGUUCGGUAAGGAUAACCGCUGAAAGCAUCUAAGUGGGAAGCCUGCUCCGAGAUAAGGUUUCGAUAACCCUUUAGGGUUGG
rnacentral:rRNA from 1 species